rnacentral:rRNA from 1 species
CCUACGGGGGGCAGCAGUGGGGGAUAUUGCACAAUGGGGGGAACCCUGAUGCAGCGACGCCGCGUGGGUGAAGAAGCGCCUCGGCGCGUAAAGCCCUGUCAGCAGGGAAGAAAAUGACGGUACCUGACCAAGAAGCCCCGGCUAACUACGUGCCAGCAGCCGCGGUAAUACGUAGGGGGCAAGCGUUAUCCGGAUUUACUGGGUGUAAAGGGAGCGUAGACGGUUAUGUGAGUCUGGAGUGAAAGCCCGGGGCCCAACCCCGGGACUGCUUUGGAAACUGUGUAACUGGAGUACAGGAGGGGCAGGCGGAAUUCCUGGUGUAGCGGUGAAAUGCGUAGAUAUCGAGAGGAACACUCGUGGCGAAGGCGGGUUCCUGGACAUUAACUGACGCUGAGGCACGAAGGCCAGGGGAGCGAAAGGGAUUAGAUACCCCAGUAGUC